rnacentral:rRNA from 1 species
GAUGAACGCUGGCGGCGUGCCUAAUACAUGCAAGUCGAGCGAACAGACGAGGAGCUUGCUCCUCUGACGUUAGCGGCGGACGGGUGAGUAACACGUGGAUAACCUACCUAUAAGACUGGGAUAACUUCGGGAAACCGGAGCUAAUACCGGAUAAUAUAUUGAACCGCAUGGUUCAAUAGUGAAAGACGGUUUUGCUGUCACUUAUAGAUGGAUCCGCGCCGCAUUAGCUAGUUGGUAAGGUAACGGCUUACCAAGGCAACGAUGCGUAGCCGACCUGAGAGGGUGAUCGGCCACACUGGAACUGAGACACGGUCCAGACUCCUACGGGAGGCAGCAGUAGGGAAUCUUCCGCAAUGGGCGAAAGCCUGACGGAGCAACGCCGCGUGAGUGAUGAAGGUCUGCGGAUCGUAAAACGCUGUUAUUAGGGAAGAACAAAUGUGUAAGUAACUAUGCACGUCUGGACGGUACCUAAGCAGAAAGCCACGGCUAACUACGG